rnacentral:rRNA from 1 species
AUUGAACGCUGGCGGCAGGCCUAACACAUGCAAGUCGAACGAGUGGCGGACGGGUGAGUAAUGUCUGGGAAACUGCCUGAUGGAGGGGGAUAACUACUGGAAACGGUAGCUAAUACCGCAUACCAUCGGAUGUGCCCACAUGGGAUGAGCUAGUAGGUGGGGUAAAGGCUCACCUAGGCGACGAUCCCUAGCUGGCCUGAGAGGAUGACCAGCCACACUGGAACUGAGACACGGUCCAGACUCCUACGGGAGGCAGCAGUGGGGAAUAUUGGACAAUGGGCGAAAGCCUGAGGCAGCCAUGCCGCGUGUAUGAAGAAGGCCUUCGGGUUGUAAAGUACUUUCGGCGGGGAGGCGUUACCCACAGAAGAAGCAACGGCUAACUCCGUGCCAGCAGCCGCGGUAAUAC